AGUUCUUGCUUCCUUGACCUUGAUUUCCACGCUCACGCCUUGUCCCCUCAGCACCCACAUGCAGAUAAUGAUUGUCUGUGUUAGAGUGAAUGAAAUAUCGCUGCGGAUCCUGUGCCGAAGCGAAUCACUGAAUUGGUGGCAUGAAAAGGAGAAGUGAUCGGGAUGAUGGUGCUUCACACCCCAGAGGGAGUUUCGCUUCACAGAUAAGCGCCCUGAGUCAUGAGCUGAAUACGUGCCAGAAGGUUUCAAUGGCAGAAGUAAAUCCUAUCAAAGUUUGCUGUUGUGGUUGGACUGCUGACUCAAAGCGCUCGCUACGUGAGCUACCAGGGAGAGAUGGGGCUGGCAGUAAGUCACGCAGUGGCUCAUGUGGAAAUUGGGAGGCAGAAAUUGUUCUGCACAUGAACAAGAAACAAUCUGGAACCUGAACAGUUGAGAAUAAAGUUGAGACAAGCUGGUCUGAAGACA
rnacentral:lncRNA from 1 species